CCAGAACAUGCGGUCAUCCUUGAUGUGAAAACAAGGUGGAAUAGCUUAUUCCUCAUGGUGGAGCGAUUCCUGGAGCAGUUCCCUGCCAUCCAGGCCACCUCCAUGGACCAUCGUCUUAAGAAAUUAAUGGACAAGGACAGGCAAAAACAGUUCUUAUUCUAAAUGCUUAUUCCAUUUUCAUUGUGAACGAUUUUGCUCAUGAAUCUAUAGUCCAGCUAAUGAAUGUGAUUAUAUUUUACAGACUGCAGAGAGUUUCUGAUGAGGAUUUUAGAAAAGCAGAAGAGUUUGUCAAAGUUACAAAGAUACUUUACACUUCAACCCUCUGCGUCUCUGCUGAAAGGAGCCCAACUUUGGGUCAGAUUCUGCCUAUCUUAAAUAAACUCCAGCAGAACAGACUCCGACUGAGCAGAUAGAACAGGCACUUGAAGAGAGAGCAGGUAACCAAGAUGACAGCUCUGAUGAAGACAGUGCAUCUGCAACAACAGCACUGAAGAGGCCAGAGCUUUCUGCCCUUGAGGAGCUGUUUGCUGUGGAGGACAUGGCUGUUGAAGAAUGCAGACCACUGUCAGCAGCACUACAGAGAGGAUUCAGGCAGAGAUAAAUAAGUACAGACUGCUUCCAUCUACACUGUCCUCAGUAAGUCCAGUAACCUGGUGGUGGGAUAUGAAGGACACUCUGCCAAUGCUUUCAGAAUUGGCAUCAAGGUAUCUUUGCAUGCAAGCAUCAUCCACACCCUCAGAGCGUACAUUUUCCACUGCUGGGGACAUUAUCAGCCAGGAGCGGGCUUGUCUGUCUCCUGAAAAAGCAGACAUGCUAAUUUUUCUGAAGAAGAACUGUUGAGUGAUUUCAGGUGAUCUUAAAAGGUUAGUUCACCAAAAAAAUGAAUAUUCUGUCAUUAAUUACUCACCCUAAUGUUGUUCCAAACCCAUAAGACCUUUGUUUAUCUUCAGAACACAAAUGACGAUAAUUUGGAUUUAAUCCAAGAGCUUUCUGAUCCUCCCAUAUAUUUACUGGAUAUGCAGUUUUCAAUGCCCAGAAAGGAACCAAAAACAUAGUCAAAAUAAGUCCAUGUGAUAUAAGUGGUUCAAUCAUAAUUAUAUGAAGCUGCGAGAAUACUUCUGUGCGCAAAAUAAACAAAAAUAACUUUAUUCAAUGAUUUAUCUAUGGGAGGAUCAGAAAGUUCUUGGAUUAAAUCCAAAAUAUCUUCAUUUGUAGAUAAUUAAUGACAGAAUUUUAAUUAAAGGGGGAACUAAACCUUUAAGCAGCAGUGAGCCUCACAAAUACUUAAAAUUGAUUGACUUAAAAUGGCUUGAACUUUAUUAAAACGGUUUGCACUGAUAUUUUGUGCUUUUGUUCCUUUGUUUAUUGGUCUUAGAGAUAAGCCUGCUGUGAAAAGUGUCACAAACAUCCUGAAAAAAUAAAACCAAAGUUUGUCUGAGAUUAUGUGUUAUGUAAUCUUGUUAAAAUAUAUUUCUUAAAAUAAAAGUAUCGAAAAAACUAUCGUUCGGAACCGGUAUCGAAUUCAGGGUAUCGAAACCCAGUCCUAGUCCCUGU